AUGACUUGUGUGAUGGUCCCCGUAUUAAAUGCUGGGACAAUGCUGCUGCUAGGAGACACAAGCUGCAGCUGGAAUGUCUUUGGUACUGCAGCCUGGAAAACAAAGUCCGUCAUGUCUAGCUCUGUGCUGUUAGAUGCCUGUAUCAUUAUCAGUGUUACACUGGGGUUGGUGUUUGACCGUUCAAAGGUGAAUUCUAUCUUCAAGCCUUUCUUACUGUAUGCUGUAAUGGAGGGGAUGCCUGCAGUGAUGUCACUGAAGAGAGGCUGUGAUGAAAGCCCAUCCAAUAAGAAGGGGAGCCGAGAUGUCUGUGAGACUGAGGCAGGGGUAGGAGCAGCAGUUGGAGUAACUGUAAGGGUGAUGUCUCCCACCAAAUCAAGAAGUUCUCCACCAGCAGAUACUGGUUUGCUUGUAGGUGCAGUUGGAAUAACAGGUGUUAUGUCAUUUCCUCCCAACAAAUCCAAUAAAUCAUUAGCCUGGCUGGUGGCCUGUGGCCCAGAAGGCGGUGGUUUUGUCUCUAAUAGAGCUGGUUCUGUCUCUCCAUUUGUCUGCACAAUCUCAGUAGGGCCAUUUGUGGUCACUUUUUCCAAGACAGGCAUUCUCUCAAGUAGGGCCAACCUCAUAUGGUCAUAUUUCUUUAAAAGUGCAUUAUAUUCUUCUGCCCUCUGCUGGAGCUCCACAUCAAUGCUGCUUCCAUAGAUGGAAACCACUUUUUAAAUUCGGUUUACAGUACAAGUGAAUUGAGUUGAAAGCUUCAUGAUGGCAGUGAGGGCGUUACCUCAUGUCACAGAGGUGGACAUAUUAGAGAUUAGUACAUUUUCUAAAAUAUCCAAUACUUCAUCCUCCGUUACCUGAACAGGUUCUUCCAUUUCACAUUGGCUAGAUACAAGAAGAUCACCAUAUUCACCUAUGUACCAUGCAGCCACUUGUACCAAAGGUUGUUGAGAAUAAGCACCAAGAAUUGCUUUAUACAAGUGCUGGACAGUAUAAGUGUGCAUCUCCAUACUAUUGGUUAUUAACUGUAUCAAAUUGGGGACUGCAUCAUCAUGAAUGUAACUUCCUGCUCUUGUCAGAACACGCAUAAUGGUGUCUAUAAACCACCAUUUGGAAGGUGCAUACUUUUCUGCAGCAAGAAAAAUUCCAGAUGCACAGUCUGCCUUACAUUCUGACUCACAUGAAUCCAGAAAAUAAAGUAAUUCCUUCAUCAUGCCUCGGAUAUUAUUUCCGUUUACCAGGGUAAAACUCAAUUCCAUUGCACACCGCUUUAUUGAGACACCCAAAUCUUUUAGACAGUCCCCAGUUAUGCUUCUGUGCCUCUGUAGUGCAUUGUGAUCUGUCUGCACGGUCUUCAACAAAGAUGUCAGAGCUACGUAUCUAAUAUUUUUGUCAUUGUUCAAUAAGAAAUGACCCAGGAUGUUUAUGGCUAGAACUCACAGUCCACUCUCUCAUUUAAUAUCCAUGACAGUCAAAACAGUUUCAUAAAGAAUAGCAUCUCCUACAUUUUUACUAAUCUCUGUAUUCGUGCCAACUUGUGCUAGUAUAUCAUUCAUAGCUUCAUUUGAGUCAUCCUCGUUCCAUCCUAAAAUUCUUAAUAACCGCAAAAUCUGUACCUGCAAAGAAGGGUCACUGAUAUCAGAAACAUCAUGUUCUGGGGAAUAUCCAGACAUGAUGAGGUUCUUUAGAAUAUGGACUAAUUGGGGACAAGCGUUCUGAAAUGUGCAAGCAUAUCUGGGCUUCUCUCACACAUUUCUGUGAGGAGGACUACACCAUGGUUCUUCUCAUUCAAUAAAUUUUUUGUUGCUGGUAAAAACACCUCCAUAAGUUCAGGAACCUUCCUGAUGACAUGAAUAGCACACAGUGCUGCAGUUCACCUAGGUUUCAGUCCAUAAUUACCUGUCCCAUGGCAGGGGCAACAGUUUAUGGCAGCAGAAGAAAGCAAAAACAAGGGUGGAGUCUCAUCUUAUUACAAAGCUUCUGGGGCCGGGGAUUUAGCUCAGUGGUUCUGCUGCCUGCCUUGAAAGUGCAAGGUCCUGAGUUUGAUCCCCGGUACCAAAAAAAGAAACAAAACCAAACAACCAAAAAAAGCUUCUGCACUGCAAGAGAAACCACCAACAGAGCUAAGAGAUAACCUACAAUGUAGGAAAAAAUUUUUACCAGCGGUUCCUCAGACAAAGGUCUACUAUCUAGAAUAUAUAUAUAGAACUAAAAAAAAUCAGAUCCAUCCCAAAAUAUAAAGACCCAAUUCAAAAAUGAACAUCUGAAAUGAACAGACAUUUCUCAGACAAACAAGCAGAAAUAGCAAAUAAACAUGAAAAAAUGUUCAACGUCACUGGUCAUUUGAGAGAUGCAGAUGAAAACAACGCUGAGAUUCCACCUCACUCCAGAAAGAAUGGCUGCUAUCAUGAAAUCAACCAAUAACAAAUGCUGGCAGGGCUGUGGGGAAAGAGGAACGCUGCUCCACUGCUGGUGGGAGUGUAGACUGGUGCAACCACUAUGGAAAUCAGUAUGGAGAUACCUCAAAGAACUAGGAUUAGAAGUCCCAUUUGACCCAGCUAUUCCUCUGCUGGGUAUCUUCCAAAAGAAUUAAAAGAAUCAUACCACAGUGAUAUAUGCUCACCCAUGUUUAUAGCGGCACAGUUUGUAAUAGCUAAAACUUGGAAACAGCCCAAAUGCCCAUCAACUGGAAACUGGAUAAAGAUGUGGGUUUUUUAAUAAAAUGGAGUACUACUCAGCCAUAAAGAAUGAGAAACUAGAGACAUUUAUAGCUAAGUGGAUGCACAUUGAGGUGAUACUCUUCAGUGAAAUAAAUAGGACACACAUGUGUAAAUACUGUAUAGUUUCUCUGAUGUGAAAAACUAAAAGUGUAAAUAAGGACCAAAAUGUAUAAUUGAUAUUGUGAAGGAGGAAGAAAAGGUCUGAAG
rnacentral:lncRNA from 1 species